UGCAGUAAGCAGCUUUCACAGAGAUUCUUCCAGUGUAGCGGCUCCAGCACUGGGUGGAGUGGGAUCGUCAAUGCCGUCCCCCAGGGUUCAGAGUUGCUCUGAGCCCCGCCCCCAGGUGGCCCGGCAGCCCACCCAGUUAGUCACGUGCUGGCGGCUAGCCAAUCAUCGGGGGCGGUGCGGGGCGGGGCGGUAGAGACGGAGAAAGCGAAGGGUAAGACACCGCCCUGCAGACUUUCCAGCGGAUCCCCCGGUGUCCUCAUGUCGCGCAGCGGAACCGGUCCUGAGCAGCGCCAGCAGGCGUCAGAGGCGGACACCGCAGCAGCAACCUUCCGACCAAGCGACCAUCAGCAUAUCCGCUACAACCCGCUGCAGGAUGAGUGGGUGCUGGUGUCUGCUCACCGCAUGAAGCGUCCCUGGCAGGGUCAAGUGGAACCCCAGCUUCUGAAGACAGUGCCCCGCCAUGACCCCCUCAACCCUCUGUGUCCCGGGGCCACCCGAGCCAAUGGAGAGGUGAAUCCCCACUACAAUAGCACCUUCCUGUUUGACAACGACUUCCCAGCUCUGCAGCCUGAUGCCCCCAGUCCAGGACCCAGCGAUCAUCCCCUUUUCCAAGCAAAGGCUGCUCGAGGAGUCUGUAAGGUCAUGUGCUUCCACCCCUGGUCGGAUGUGACGCUGCCACUCAUGUCGGUCCCUGAGAUUCGGGCUGUUGUCGAUGCAUGGGCCUCAGUCACAGAGGAGCUGGGUGCCCAGUACCCUUGGGUGCAGAUCUUUGAAAACAAAGGCGCCAUGAUGGGCUGUUCCAACCCCCACCCCCACUGCCAGGUGUGGGCCAGCAGUUUCCUGCCAGAUAUUGCCCAGCGUGAGGAGCGAUCUCAGCAGGCCUAUAAGAGUCAGCAUGGAGAGCCCCUGCUACUGGAGUAUAGCCGCCAGGAGCUACUCAGGAAGGAACGUCUGGUCCUAACCAGUGAGCACUGGUUAGUGCUGGUCCCCUUCUGGGCAACGUGGCCCUACCAGACACUGCUGCUGCCCCGUCGGCAUGUGCGACGGCUACCUGAGCUGACCCCUGCAGAGCGUGAUGAUCUAGCCUCCAUCAUGAAGAAGCUCUUGACCAAGUAUGACAACCUAUUUGAGACGUCCUUUCCCUACUCCAUGGGCUGGCAUGGUGAGGCUUUUCAAGUACCUAUAUCUAGUCCCAACACCAUUUUUGGGCUCCUGGGGCCUGGCUUAGUGAACUACAUUCCCAAAUGAGCGAGACUUGAAACAGUUGCUGGGGGAAGUGGCCAGAGCAGAGAUGCUGGGACUGAGGUUGGAGCAGCAAACUUGGUGAAACUGUGUCUCCAAUGUGCUUUCUAAUUUCCUGCCAGCUCUUCUCAGGGGCUCCCACAGGAUCAGAAGCCGGGGCCAACUGGGAGCACUGGCAGCUGCACGCUCAUUACUACCCUCCGCUCCUGCGCUCUGCCACUGUCCGGAAAUUCAUGGUUGGCUACGAAAUGCUUGCUCAGGCUCAGAGGGACCU